rnacentral:rRNA from 1 species
AUUGAACGCUGGCGGCAGGCUUAACACAUGCAAGUCGAACGAGUGGCGGACGGGUGAGUAAUGCUUGGGAAUCUAGCUUAUGGAGGGUGAUAACUACGGAAAACUGUAGCUAAUACCGCGUACCAUAGGAUGAGCCCACGUGUGAUUAGGGAGUUGUUGAGGUAAAGGCACACCAAGCCGACAACCUCUAGCUGGUCUGAGAGGAUGACCAACCACCCUGGGACUGAGACACGGCCGAGACUCCUCCGGGAGCCAGCAGGGGGGAAUAUUGCGCAAUGGGGGCAACCUGACGCAGCCAUGCCGCGUGAAUGAAGAAGGCCUUCGGGUUGUAAAGUACUUUCGGUAGGGAGGCGUUAACUACAGAAGAAGCACCGGCUAACUCCGUGCCAGCCGCCGCGGUAAUUC